UCAUAGAUCUUUAGACAGGCCUGUAUGGGGAAACAGAGGAAUAUCCUCAUGGAAGAGAUGGCAGACAGAGGUCAGCUGCAGGUGUGGCCUGUGGGGCCUGCCUGCCAGAUUCUGCUUAGGACUGAGUUAGGUGUAACUGUGCUGCCUCGAUGGCUGUAUGAAAAUCUGGAUAUCAGGAUUAGGACUAGAACCUUUGAAUCCAGGCAUGCCCAAAGAGAGUCCAUCCUGGGAGAAGGCUAAAUGAAGUUUCCUGUGGAAAGGGACUGGAUGCCUAUUAAUCACAAGUUAAUAAAAAUGUAUUUGAUCACUUAGUAUCCAAAGAUAGCCACUACC
rnacentral:lncRNA from 1 species